ensembl:lncRNA
GCAGAGGGCACCCUCAGGAUGGCAGUGAGGAUGAACACGUAGGACAGGAAGAUGAGCAGCAGUGGGGCCAGCGUCAGGACAGCUGAAGCCACCAUUAUUAGCAGUGCAUUGAGAGAGAUGUCCCCACAGGCUAGUUUUAGCACCGCCAAGAUCUCACAGAAGAAGUGGUUGAUGAUAUUGUGGCCACAGAAGGGGAGGCUCCAGGUGAGAAUGGAUUGGAGAAGGGAGUUGGCAAAGGCUGCCCCCCAGCUCAGUGCUGCCAUCCACACGCAUGUCUGCCGGUUCAUGAGCUCUGAAUAGCGAAGCGGCUGGCAGAUGGCCACGUACCGGUCACAUGCCAUCAUGGCCAAGAGCACACACUCCGUGGAGCCCAGCGCCAGGGUCAGGUACAUCUGCAGGGCACAGCCAGGGAAGGAGAUGGUGCUUUGGGUUUCCAGGAAGUUGACCAGCAUGAGAGGCACGAAGGAGGAUGUGCCGCAGAUGUCCAUGAGGGCGAGGUUGCUGAGGAAGAAGUACAUGGGGGUGUGCAGGCAGGGGUCCAGCAUGUUCAGCCCAAUGAGAAGGGUGUUCCCCAGCACAUUCACAGAGUAGAUGCCCAGGCAGAGCACAAACAGCACCAUCUCUAGGUUGUGGUGGUCGUGUAGCCCCAGCAGGACAAACUCUGUCACGAUCGUCUGGUUUGCCCCAUUCAUCUCACUCUCCAUCCAUCUCAUUCUCCCUCUUUUCCCAUCUGCACCACGAAGAUGUUGGAUUAAGCACCAGUGGGCCUGGGAGCCAAGCAACGUGGAUGUGUUACCUGGGGUGAGUCAGCCCUGCCUCUGGAACUAGUUUCACCAUCAGUACAAUGAGAGAGUGGACUUCAGGUCCGCAAGUCAGCCCCCUCAGUUCUGUCAUUCUGGUGUAACUUUCAUGAGAUGGGGUCCAUUCUAAUCUCCUAAGCUUUUCUCUCUUCUCCCCAGGCUGACCUAGGGGAGACAAGAGAAUAAAUUCAUGUUUCUCGAGCUCUUUUUGAAUCUGCAGUGUUCUUGGCUUUCAAGAGGAAGCACGUUUUCUAGGUUAGGACUUCUCAUGGCUAAUGACUCUAGUAGGAUUUCAGAUUCAUUCACUCAUUGAGGAUUUGUUGAGUGUCUACCUUGUGCUGGGUGUUGUUUAGGUGCUGGGCUAUAGCAGUAAGAAAACUACGUGGACCAAAACACGCCACAUUUGUAAUAAGUGUUGCUCCUCUUUCUCAAAUUAAGGUGGAUGAGCUUGGGAAGGCAGGUGGGUGAUGAGUGAUGGUCACCUCAUUCCUUUGGGCAUGAAGGGUGAACAUUUCUACGGCAUAGGUUGUACAAGCCUUAUUCAGGUGUCUCUCCUUAAGAUCAGAGACCAUGCAUUGAUUUUAAAAGAGUAUAUAAGAACAUAU